AGCAGCCGCGGUAAUUCCAGCUCCAAUAGCGUAUAUUAAAGUUGUUGCAGUUAAAAAGCUCGUAGUUGAAUUUCGGGAUCAGACUGUCGGUCGUGCCUCGGUACGCACUGGCAUUAUUGGUUCCUACCUUCUGAAGAACCGCGAUGUCAUUAAUUUGGUGUCGCGGGGAAUCAGGACUGUUACUUUGAAAAAAUUAGAGUGUUUAAAGCAGGCUUACGCUUGAAUACAUUAGCAUGGAAUAAUGAAAUAGGACGUUUGAUUCUAUUUUGUUGGUUUCUAGGAUCGACGUAAUGAUUAAUAGGGAUAGUUGGGGGCAUUAGUAUUCAAUUGUCAGAGGUGAAAUUCUUGGAUUUAUUGAAGACUAACUACUGCGAAAGCAUUUGCCAAGGAUGUUUUCAUUAAUCAAGAACGAAAGUUAGGGGAUCGAAGACGAUCAGAUACCGUCGUAGUCUUAACCAUAAACUAUGCCGACUAGGGAUCGGAUGAUGUUAAUUUUUUAAUGACUCAUUCGGCGCCUUACG
rnacentral:rRNA from 1 species